rnacentral:rRNA from 1 species
GCGGUAAGCUCGUAGUUGGAUUUCUGCUUGGACGACCGGUCCGCCCUCUGGGUGUUGUAUCUGGUUCGGUCCGGGCAUCUUCUUGAGGACGUUGCUGCACUUGAGUGUGUGGUGCGGACUCAAGACUUUCACUUUGAGGAAUUAGAGUGUUUCACGCAGCUUUGCUGAUACGCUAGCAUGGAACGAUAAGAUAGGACCUCGUCCCUACCUUGUUGGUUUGUA